rnacentral:tRNA from 1 species
GAGGGUAUAGCUCAGUGGUAGAGCAUGCACUUAGGGUGCACGAGGGCCUGGGUUCCAUCCCCAGUACCUCCA